rnacentral:rRNA from 1 species
UACGAAGGGGGCUAGCGUUGCUCGGAAUUACUGGGCGUAAAGGGCGCGUAGGCGGAUAGUUUAGUCAGAGGUGAAAGCCCAGGGCUCAACCCUGGAAUUGCCUUUGAUACUGGCUAUCUUGAGUUCGGGAGAGGUGAGUGAACUCCGAGUGUAGAGGUGAAAUUCGUAGAUAUUCGGAAGAACACCAGUGGCGAAGGCGACUCACUGGCCCGAUACUGACGCUGAGGCGCGAAAGCGUAGGGAGCAAACAGG